AUUGAACGCUGGCGGCAUGCCUUACACAUGCAAGUCGAACGGCAGCACGGGAGCAAUCCUGGUGGCGAGUGGCGAACGGGUGAGUAAAGUAUCGGAACGUGCCCAGUCGUGGGGGAUAACGUAGCGAAAGUUACGCUAAUACCGCAUACGAACUAUGGAUGAAAGCGGGGGAUCGCAAGAACUCGCGCGAUUGGAGCGGCCGAUAUCAGAUUAGGUAGUUGGUGGGGUAAAGGCUCACCAAGCCGACGAUCUGUAGCUGGUCUGAGAGGAAGACCAGCCACACUGGGACUGAGACACGGCCCAGACUCCUACGGGAGGCAGCAGUGGGGAAUUUUGGACAAUGGGCGCAAGCCUGAUCCAGCCAUGCCGCGUGCAGGAUGAAGGCCUUCGGGUUGUAAACUGCUUUUGUACGGAACGAAAAGGUUUGACUUAAUACGUUGGACUCAUGACGGUACCGUAAGAAUAAGCACCGGCUAACUACGUGCCAGCCGCCGCCGUAA
rnacentral:rRNA from 1 species